UGCUUAACACAUGCAAGUCGAACGAUGAUGCCCAGCUUGCUGGGUGGAUUAGUGGCGAACGGGUGAGUAACACGUGAGUAACCUGCCCUUAACUCUGGGAUAAGCCUGGGAAACUGGGUCUAAUACCGGAUAUGACUCCUCAUCGCAUGGUGGGGGGUGGAAAGCUUUUUGUGGUUUUGGAUGGACUCGCGGCCUAUCAGCUUGUUGGUGAGGUAAUGGCUUACCAAGGCGACGACGGGUAGCCGGCCUGAGAGGGUGACCGGCCACACUGGGACUGAGACACGGCCCAGACUCCUACGGGAGGCAGCAGUGGGGAAUAUUGCACAAUGGGCGCAAGCCUGAUGCAGCGACGCCGCGUGAGGGAUGACGGCCUUCGGGUUGUAAACCUCUUUCAGUAGGGAAGAAGCGAAAGUGACGGUACCUGCAGAAGAAGCGCCGGCUAACUACGUGCCAGCAGCCGCGGUAAUACGUAGGGCGCAAGCGUUAUCCGGAAUUAUUGGGCGUAAAGAGCUCGUAGGCGGUUUGUCGCGUCUGCCGUGAAAGUCCGGGGCUCAACUCCGGAUCUGCGGUGGGUACGGGCAGACUAGAGUGAUGUAGGGGAGACUGGAAUUCCUGGUGUAGCGGUGAAAUGCGCAGAUAUCAGGAGGAACACCGAUGGCGAAGGCAGGUCUCUGGGCAUUAACUGACGCUGAGGAGCGAAAGCAUGGGGAGCGAACAGGAUUAGAUACCCUGG
rnacentral:rRNA from 1 species